CGCGCACACACACACACACACACACACACACACACACGCAGACACCCCGAGAUGGUUCCGGGGAUUUUUCGUGCACAUUCUGGUGCUCCAAUUAACCACUGUGAAACAUGUCAGAUGGUGCCAGGAAUUAUGUUUUCUGCAGAAAGGGUGACAUUUGGGUUGUGAGGUGAUUACUGCCUUAUCAGGGAUGGCCAGGGAGACCCUGGGAGUGCCAUCAGAGUAGGAAUGUAUACAUAAGGAAUACCCCACUUGGAGGUCUCAGGAGAAAGCAGGGAGUGUGCAAAGGCCCUGGGGGUAUAUGGACACUCAGAGAGCUAUCAGCAGGCUGGGGAGGCUAGAGUUGGGGAAGAGCAUGGGGCAACAUAUAGGACCUGCAGGUGACCCCAGACUGGACUGUGACCAGACUGAGACAGGCCAAUGGAAGGUAGGGGCAGAGGGAAAUUAUGGGCCUCAGAUGAGACUUCUGAGCUAGGGUUGGGGCUACCUCCUGGCAGCGAGAGGAAGCUGAGAGCAGUGGGAUGACUGAGGUCCCCACCAGAACCUGGGGAGGAGCCAGGAAUGGUCUGGGACGAAUUGCAUUCUAGCUUACAAGCUCCCUGGGGAAGCAUUGCGUAGGAAAGAAACCUUCCCGGAAGACCUCAAGGCCAGCAGGAAACUUCCUGGGGACCAGAGCCAGUGUGCCCUGAGUCAGGAGGUCCAGGAAGCCCUGAAGGGAUCCCCAGGAGGUUGAGAAGCAGGACCAGUGCCCUGGGGUGAGAAAGGAGGAGCCAGAGUGAAGCCUGGGGAAAUCCCUGGUGGUCUCCCUGCCACUGUGGGGCAGCCGUGGGGUGGGGGAUGACAAAAGGAGGCUCUGAGAAAUGGGGACCUUGAGAGGCAGGGAGGAGAACCUUGUGAAGGGCCCUGUCUCCCAGGCAGACAAAGAACAGAAAGGCAGACACGUUUAAUAACACGUACGCCUCUGGCGCGGGGUGCCUGGGCAGGUGUUCUCAUAGACAUGUGGACUACUUUCAGGUUUAAAUACCAUCGUCUAGGAGCAAAGAAAGCAGCUGUGGGGAAGGUGUGUCAGGCAAGAGCCCUGUGGCUGCCUUCCCUUCCUUUCCUGAUAGGAGAGUUCCUCUCUUCCAGGUGCAGUGGGAGAUUCCUUGAUGAUUGUAAAUUUUCUUUACAAAAGGGAAUUCAUUCUUGUUUUCAAGAGCUUUUUUAUGAUGCUUCAAGAGCUUUUUAUGAUGGCUCUUGUUUCUCAAAAUAACUACCUCAAAAUAAUGUAUAUGCCAGAUGCACAUUUGGGGGCAUGUUCUGUCUCCUACAGACGCAUUUAGGGGCACAGUCUCAUGUCCUGCAUGUGAAACAGAGCAGAGAAAUGCGUGAAGAUGGGAUGAUGACAGGAUGAAUCUCCUGUUCCUGGACAGUGAGGAAUCCUAAACACUGAAAUUGACCUCAGGGGCCACAGGGCUUCUCUGAGGACACUCACAGGGGACACCACCCAUCUCUACUAUGCGUCCCAGUGUCAGUCAUGGCAAGGAGAUCCGCAGGAGAAAGAUGGGCUUGGUGGACCCAGCAGCUUCCAAGAGGAGGAUGCUCAGGCUGCAGUGGGGCUCAGGGCUGGCAAGCACCCCACAGGAGGGGCUGUGACUGGGCCAGAGGGCACCUUGGGGUUUCCCAGUAAAUGGGGAGGGAGGAGGGACUUUCUGGGCAAGGAGUGAUUGGGCAGGGUGUAGAGCCGGGCUCUGGAAGACCAUGUUACUGUUGAGCUUCUGGGGCCUAUGGUGACAGGGAAGCAGUCUGCCUGGUUUUAUCACCAGCCAGUUGCUCUUUUGAGUUCAGGUUAAAGCAGGACUCCUCAGGGGUGGGAGGGAGAUGGUAGAAUACCUUAAGCCCCCAGGAGUGCCAGCCCCUAGCCAGCCUGGCUCAGCAGCCAGCACCAAUCUUAAAGGCUGCUCAUAGGUGGACAGAGGAGGCACAGGGAGGGGCAGAACAAUUUGUGUGAGAGAAAGAGGCCCCACUUGUACAUUGUUAUAUCCCAGAUGUCUGGACAAAGCUGAAGAAAUUCUUGCAAUGAAGAUCUGUGAUAUGGGCAUCUGAGGGCACCAGGGUAGGAGAGAGACUUUGGGCUGUAAUGUUUUGGGAUACAUGAUGGUGAGGAGGGAGAGAGCUGAGGAAGAGGCCUUCCUUGAGCUGCAGGUCAAGGAUUGAGAGUCCACAGCAGACAGAGCCCCUCACCUCAGAUAGCCUUGGGUCCCGCUGAGGUCCCAUCAGCAGCAGGAUGACAGGCUUUCCUGCCCAAAUGGUUGCAAAACACUGCAGAAGGGCCCAAGACUCCUUCCUGGGGUGGGAUUGGAGGAGCAGAACAGACUGGGAGCUGGCACGUCUCUGUGCUCCCCUCUUGGCCUGAUGUACCGUGGCCUACCAAGGGUCACAGUGGUGGAGAGGGAGGCCCCUGUUCAGGCCACCAUCCACAACUGGGUCCUGGAGUGUUUCCCUAAGGAUCACCCAUCUACAAAUCCCCAGGAAAUGCUAGGGCUUCUGACUAUAGGCAGCUCUGGCCACAGACUAUUUUGAGAGUGUGAGGUAAGCAAUGGCCUGGAGUGGGCAGCUGGCUAGUGCUCCAUAAAGUGAGAGUGGAGGGAGAGUCACCUCUGCUGAGCAUCUAGAUGCUCUCACACAUACAUUAUGGGGUGUGUGACUUUAUUCCUUGUCUGGAAUACGGUGCUGGUGGGGAAAUAGUCUGGUUAUCAGGAUUCACAUGGGAAAUCAGGAGAAAAUACAUGUUAUAGCAUGAGUCAGGAAUGUACUGCCAAGGUCUCUGGGCUCAUAGGCAGGGUUUUUGCAAGGUUAUUGAAUUAUAGAGGCUUAUAGCUGACUUGCUGUUAGGAGGCAGUCUGGACAGAAGAGGCAAGUCUCUUGGGGCAUGACUUGGAAGGAUGUUUCUCCUUUCUUACCUCCUCCUUUCUCACUCUACUUCCUGGAUGCUAUGAUAGGAGCAACUUUUCUUCUACCAUCCCCCUCUGCCAUGCUGUUUUCUGCCCUAGAGCUAACCAACCAUGGACUAUAACCAUGAGCCAAAGUAAGCCUCUCCUUCAAAUUGAGAAUGUUGAGUAUUUUGUCUCAGUGAUGAGAAAGUAACUAAGACAGAAUUUUGAUACCAGAGAGGUGGGGUUGUUACUGGGGCUAUUCCUGACCAUGUGAUUCAGAAACCUUUGGAAGCGGUUUAUGGAAGAAGUUUGGAAAGGUUUGGAGAUACCUCACAGAGAAACCCUAGAAUGCUGUUAGCCAAGCUAGAUGGGAGAUUCUGGUCAGAACUCAAAAUAUCAGAAUGCUGAUAGAGGUGUAGAUAGUAAAAGCCAGGCUCAAGAGGUUUCAGUUGGGAACAAGGAUUCCAUUUGCAGUUGGAUUUCAAGACCAGUUCAAGACCAUGUGUGUUAUUCUCUGGCAGGAAAUUUGUCAGCAUUUUGUUCCUGCCCUAAGACUUUGCAGGAGGCUAAGAUUAAAGACAGUGGACUAAUUAAUGUGGUAGAGGAAAUUUCAAGGCAGUUCAGCAUUCAGGCUGUAGCAUGUGUACUGUUUGCUACUUUUAGUGAUAACUAUGUGAGAAGUAGAAGCAAAAAGCCAAGUUGAAUACUUCAAAAAGUUUUGCUGGAGGCCAGAAAGGAAAUGCCUAUAAAGCUGGGGCCUGUAAAAUUGGGGCCUAUGAAAUUUUGCCCCAGCAUAGGUUGGCUGCUGAAAAAUUAGCAUUAAAACAAAUCUAAGUACUUAUAAAUCAGGACAAUAGAAAAGAUGCCUUGAGGGCAUGUAAGGAAUCAGCAAGAUACCACCCUUCCCAGGCUCAUGAGUCUAAAAAUUAAGAAGAAAACCCCAGGGCACUUUGCUUGUGACUGGUCCCCCAGAAUUUGUUUCACAGUGCUCAGCAAUCCAGGCAGUCAGAAGCCUCUGUGACCAUGAUCCAAGGGGGCCUACUUCUCAAGCUGGUGGCACUUUGGUAUCAUCCACGUGAUGCUGGUUUUACAGGCAUGCAGAAUGCAAGGGUUGUGGAGUAAGGGAGGCUUCCAUUUGGAUUUCAGAAGAAGGCCUGGGAGGCCAGGCAGUGUCUUCCUGAGAGUGUGGUGCAUGAAGCUAUGAAAGUGAAGCCAAAAUGCAAGGAAGUUGGAGAAGCCAGGAAUGUGGAACAUGUGGGCUCACAGUGAAAAGUCUGCCUUGUGUCUCAGAAGAGACUUUGGACUUGGACAUCUCAGCAAUACUGUUAACAGUUUGGCAACUCUUGGAGAUGGACUACAUACAUUUUGCAUAAAGAGAUGCUUGUGGGGCUUGUGGAAGGUGAUUGGAUCAUGGAGGUGCUGUACUAUCAGUGGCAUUAUCCACUGGGGACCCAAGCAACUGAGUAUGCAUUGGAAGGUGGGGCCUAGCCAAAAGAGGCAAGUCAUGGGGAGGGGUAUGUCUCUCUCCCUGGCUCCUUCCUUCUCCUUCUGCUUCCUGGCUGCCAUGACAUGAGCAGCUUUCCUCUGCUGUGUCCA